rnacentral:rRNA from 1 species
UACGUAGGGGGCUAGCGUUGUUCGGAAUUAUUGGGCGUAAAGAGCUUGUAGGCGGUUUGUCGCGUCUGCUGUGAAAAUCCGGGGCUCAACCCCGGACUUGCAGUGGGUACGGGCAGACUAGAGUGUGGUAGGGGAGACUGGAAUUCCUGGUGUAGCGGUGGAAUGCGCAGAUAUCAGGAGGAACACCGGUGGCGAAGGCGGGUCUCUGGGCCGAUACUGACGUGAGGAGCGAAAGCGUGGGGGAGCGAACAGG